UGGCAAGUGGCGCAAUUGGCAGCGCAUCUGACUCUGGAUCAGAGGGUUGAAGGUUCGAGCCCUUCCUUGCCAGCCA
rnacentral:tRNA from 1 species